rnacentral:rRNA from 1 species
UACGGGGGGAGCAAGCGUUGUUCGGAUUUACUGGGCGUAAAGGGCGCGUAGGCGGUCAGCACAAGUCAGUUGUGAAAUCUCCGGGCUUAACUCGGAAAGGUCAACUGAUACUGUGCGACUAGAGUGCGGAAGGGGCAACUGGAAUUCUCGGUGUAGCGGUGAAAUGCGUAGAUAUCAAGAGGAACACCUGAGGUGAAGACGGGUUGCUGGGCUGACACUGACGCUGAGGCGCGAAAGCUAGGGUAGCAAACGGG